rnacentral:rRNA from 1 species
CAGCCCCUCGAGUGGUGGGGAUGAUUAUUUGGCCUAAAGCGUCCGUAGCCGGCCGUGUAAGUCUCCCGUUAAAUCCAGCGUCUCAAGCGUUGGACUGCGGGAGAUACUGUACGGCUAGAGAGUGGGAGAGGUCAGCGGUAUUCUGGGGGUAGGGGCGAAAUCCUUUGAUCCCCGGAGGACCACCAGUGGCGAAGGCUGUACACUAGAACACGUCUGACGGUCAGGGACGAAAGCUGGGGUAGCGAACCGGAUUAGAUACCCGAGUAGUCC